rnacentral:rRNA from 1 species
AUGCAGUGUACCCGCGGCAAGACGGAAAGACCCCGUGAACCUUUACUAUAGCUUGACACUGAACAUUGAGCCUUGAUGUGUAGGAUAGGUGGGAGGCUUAGAAGUGUGGACGCCAGUCUGCAUGGAGCCGACCUUGAAAUACCACCCUUUAAUGUUUGAUGUUCUAACGUUGACCCGUAAUCCGGGUUGCGGACAGUGUCUGGUGGGUAGUUUGACUGGGGCGGUCUCCUCCUAAA